rnacentral:rRNA from 1 species
UGGGGAAUAUUGCACAAUGGGCGAAAGCCUGAUGCAGCAACGCCGCGUGAGUGAUGAAGGUCUUCGGAUUGUAAAGCUCUGUCUUUUGGGACGAUAAUGACGGUACCAAAGGAGGAAGCCACGGCUAACUACGUGCCAGCAGCCGCGGUAAUACGUAGGUGGCGAGCGUUGUCCGGAUUUACUGGGCGUAAAGGGUGCGUAGGCGGAUGUUUAAGUGAGAUGUGAAAUACCCGGGCUUAACUUGGGUGCUGCAUUUCAAACUGGAUAUCUAGAGUGCAGGAGAGGAGAAUGGAAUUCCUAGUGUAGCGGUGAAAUGCGUAGAGAUUAGGAAGAACACCAGUGGCGAAGGCGAUUCUCUGGACUGUAACUGACGCUGAGGCACGAAAGCGUGGGUAGCAAACAGGAUUAGAUACCCUGGUAGUCCACGCCGUAAACGAUGAGUACUAGGUGUAGGAGGCAUCGACCCCUUCUGUGCCGCAGUAAACACAUUAAGUACUCCGCCUGGGAAGUACGAUCGCAAGAUUAAAAAC